rnacentral:piRNA from 1 species
UGUGCUUGGGUUCUUAGUGCUAUC